GAAGUACUCAAACAGACACUACCCGAAAUUAAAAGAUCUAAGUGUAUUUUAAGUUGUUAGACUACUUGUUACAAUCUGUAGCAAUAGGUUUUUAAAAUUUUACCUUAGAGGUGAAAGGCUUUCAAUUUUAUUGAUAACUGGAUAAAUGUUAAAUAUAUUAAGUUUAAAACAAACUUACAAAGUGAUAAGAUUUUGUAAGAAAUAAUUUUUUGUGUCUCAAUUACUGCCAAUAAUUAACAAUUACCGGCGGAUUUGUAUAAAUUUAACACUAUUACACUACAGUAAUUAUUCAACAACAUUUUAUUUAACUUAAUUAUAAUUUAGUAAAAUUAAUAAUGUAUAAAUAAGUAUAUAUAAUAUAAAUUUAGGUUAAGGAACUCGGCAAUUUAAGUAUACGACUGUUUAACAAAAACAUAGCCGGUAGUUAUUAAAUUAUCGGUGAUACCUGCCCAGUGAUAUUUUAACGGCCGCAGUACUAUGACUGUGCAAAGGUAGCAUAAUCAUUUGGCUUUUAAUUGAAGUCUAGUAUGAAAGGACAAACGUAGACAAACUGUCUCAAUAAUAAAUUUAUCUAAAUUAUUUAUAAGGUGAAAAUACCUUAAGUAUAAAAAAAAGACGAGAAGACCCUUAGAAUUUUAAGAAGACCCAUGUUUACACUUGGUAUGAUUUUUGUUGGGGCAACAUUUUUUCAGAUAAAUAAAAGCUAACUUUAAAUAUACAACGAAUAAUUUUAAUAAAGUAUAAAUUACCUAAGGGAUAACAGCAUAAUUUUAAGUAAAGAUUGUGACCUCGAUGUUGGACUAGGAACUAUUAAGGCUAGUCGUUUUAAUAUAAUAGGUUCUGUUCGAACUUUAAUUCCUA
rnacentral:rRNA from 1 species